rnacentral:rRNA from 1 species
GGCGAGUGAGCGGCAAGAGCUCAGAUUUGAAAUCGUGCUAAUUUUUUUGGCACGAGUUGUAGAGUGUAGGCGGGAGUCUUUGUGGAGCACGGUGUCCAAGUCCCUUGGAACAGGGCGCCUGAGAGGGUGAGAGCCCCGUGGGGUGCCGUGCGAAGCUUUGAGGCCCUGCUGACGAGUCGAGUUGUUUGGGAAUGCAGCUCCGAGUGGGUGGUAAAUUCCAUCUAAGGCUAAAUACUGGCGAGAGACCGAUAGCGAACAAGUACUGUGAAGGAAAGAUGAAAAGCACUUUGAAAAGAGAGUGAAACAGCACGUGAAAUUGUUGAAAGGGAAGGGUAUUGGGCCCGACAUGGGGAGUGCGCACCGCUGUCUCUUGUAGGCGGCGCUCUGGGCGCUCUCUGGGCCAGCAUCGGUUCUUGCUGCGGGAGAAUGGGUGCCGGAAAGUGGCUCUUCGGAGUGUUAUAGCCGGCGCCAGAUACCGCGUGCGGGGACCGAGGACUGCGGCUUCUGUCUCGGAUGCUGGCACAACGGCGCAAUACCGCCCGUCUUGAA